rnacentral:piRNA from 1 species
UAAAUUGGUGCUUAAAGAACUCAGCCUGU